UCUUGCGCAGCGUGCGGCCGGACCGGGACAGGCUGCUGAAGGAGAAGCCGGGUUGGGCAGCCCCCGCGGCCUCGAGCCCAGGGCCGCCCGCUCGCACAAGGCCAUUAAGCGGAGCCAUCCCAAGGGCCCCGGACGGCUCCCCUUCCCGGGCACCGCAGGGCCCAGACGCGGGGAAGGCCCCGCCGCCAGCUGCCCCAAGGCCCUGGAGCCGUCGCCUUCUGGCUUUGAUGUCAACACGGCUGUUUGGGUCUGAGUCCCGGAGACAGAAAGUUGACCGAGCCCCAGAGCGGCCCCGUGUGCCGGGAAGCGUGGGCUGCGGGCGCUAUGGCUUUCGAAAGCCGAACUCCUGAGUUCCUUUCCCCCAGGAAGGAGGGCGAGACAGCGAGAGUGUCUGGAGCUGAGGGUUGUGUAUGGUUGAGUCAGGCUGGGGGGGGGGGGGCUGUUGAGGAGGUGAGGGCUCCUGGGCAUGGAGAGACGUGGCAGGGGGGUACUCACCUUGGGGCUGCAGGUGACGAGAGGGGCAGGAACAGAGCAGUGGGCAAUCUUGAUCCUUCCCUGCCCCCAAAGACCUCAGUUGAACAUUCUGUAAGAUUAGAGUGCUGGGGUCUCUGGUCCCCCCCAGAGGCUCCCAAUAAAGACCUCGUCUGUGUCUCUGUCAUCCCCAACCUCAUCACCGUGGGCUCCUUGGCACAGGCGUGCAACGCCAGCCCUCCCGGGAUUGGGAGCAGGAGAGAGGAGCCUUCCCCAUCCCACUUCUCCCUGUCGCCUUCAAGAUUCCGGCCACACCCGGGCCUGAAAAAUGGGUGGAGUGGACCUGCGGGGACCUAGAGAUGGCCCUGGAUCUUUCAAAGGCACAGGAAAGAUGUAGCCCUGGAGACCAAGCUGGAGGAGGGAGGAGGCUUCCAUCACCCUCAGAUCCCCUCUGCCAAAUGGUGGAUGUUUCAUGCUUUGGUGGCGGGAGCCACACGAAGGAAGGUGCUAAAUUUAUUUAUUCAGUGCUUGCUAUUUGCCGGGCAGCGUGCAAAACAGGCCUUUCUAGACUGACCCUAGAAAGGGUUGUCUUCUUGGUGGAUCAGUGGAGGUUCAUAGGGGUCCUAAGGGCUGCCCAGAUCGGCCUGCCAACUCAUGCAAGAGCAAGAUUUGAAACAGGAUUGGCUGGCGGCAGAACAGCCUUCUGCCCUCCCGGAGUAUGGAGUUUGCCGACUGAGCCGGCCCUUUCUGGAGGAGCAAGCCCCUGCUCAUCCUGUCUCCCCAGGGAGGGCGUGGUGAUGCUUCAGUGCGGGGUGAAGGCCCGGUGGCUUCGGCUGCCAGGGUGCUGGUGCUGGUGCUGGUGCUGGUGGCAGUGCUGGUGGCGGUGCUGGUGCUGCUGCUGGUGCUGGUGGCGGUGCUGGUGCUAGUGCUGGUGGCGGUGCUGGUGCUGCUGGUGGUGCUGGUGGAGGUGCUGGUGCUGGUGGCAGUGCUGGUGCUGAUGCUGGUGCUGGUGGAGGUGCUGGUGCUGGUGCUGGUGGCGGUGCAAAUGCUGGUGCUGCUGGCGGUGCUGCUGGUGGUGGCCCUCCAGUGCAUGCGUGCAUGUGUGCGGAGAC
rnacentral:lncRNA from 12 species